rnacentral:rRNA from 1 species
GAUGAACGCUAGCGGCAGGCCUAACACAUGCAAGUCGAACGGCAGCGGCACUUCGGUGGCCGGCGAGUGGCGGAUGGGUGAGUAACGCGUAUGCAACCUACCUUACACAGUGGGAUAGCCCAGAGAAAUUUGGAUUAAUACCGCAUAGUAUGCAGGGCCGUCAUCGGUUUUGCAUUAAACAUUUAUGGGUGAGAGAUGGGCAUGCGUUCUAUUAGUUAGUUGGAGUGGUAACGGCACCCCAAGACCGCGAUAGAUAGGGGCCCUGAGAGGGGGAUCCCCCACACUGGUACUGAGACACGGACCAG